GGGUUGUGAGGUUAAGCGACUAAGCGUACACGGUGGAUGCCCUGGCAGUCAGAGGCGAUGAAGGACGUGCUAAUCUGCGAUAAGCGUCGGUAAGGUGAUAUGAACCGUUAUAACCGGCGAUUUCCGAAUGGGGAAACCCAGUGUGUUUCGACACACUAUCAUUAACUGAAUCCAUAGGUUAAUGAGGCGAACCGGGGGAACUGAAACAUCUAAGUACCCCGAGGAAAAGAAAUCAACCGAGAUUCCCCCAGUAGCGGCGAGCGAACGGGGAGGAGCCCAGAGUCUGAAUCAGUGUGUGUGUUAGUGGAAGCGUCUGGAAAGGCGCGCGAUACAGGGUGACAGCCCCGUACACAAAAAUGCACAUACUGUGAGCUCGAUGAGUAGGGCGGGACACGUGGUAUCCUGUCUGAAUAUGGGGGGACCAUCCUCCAAGGCUAAAUACUCCUGACUGACCGAUAGUGAACCAGUACCGUGAGGGAAAGGCGAAAAGAACCCCGGCGAGGGGAGUGAAAAAGAACCUGAAACCGUGUACGUACAAGCAGUGGGAGCACGCUUAGGCGUGUGACUGCGUACCUUUUGUAUAAUGGGUCAGCGACUUAUAUUCUGUAGCAAGGUUAACCGAAUAGGGGAGCCGAAGGGAAACCGAGUCUUAACUGGGCGUUAAGUUGCAGGGUAUAGACCCGAAACC
rnacentral:rRNA from 1 species